CAAAAAAUAAAAUGAACUGGAGAGGUG
rnacentral:piRNA from 1 species